AAUCAACGCUGGCGGCGCGCCUAACACAUGCAAGUCGAGCGAGAACCAGGGCUUCGGCCCUGGGGACAGCGGCGAACGGGUGAGUAACACGUGGGUAACCUGCCCUCGGUACCGGGAUAGCCCGGGGAAACUCGGAUUAAUACCGGAUGGCCUCUCGAGCUCUCGGGCUCGAAAGAAAAGGUGGCUUCGGCUUCCGACCGAGGAUGGGCCCGCGGCCGAUUAGCUUGUUGGUGGGGUAACGGCUCACCAAGGCGACGAUCGGUAGCUGGUCUGAGAGGACGAUCAGCCACACUGGGACUGAGACACGGCCCAGACUCCUACGGGAGGCAGCAGUGGGGAAUCUUGCGCAAUGGGCGAAAGCCUGACGCAGCGACGCCGCGUGCGGGAAGAAGGCCUGGUGUAACG
rnacentral:rRNA from 1 species